CGUGGAGCGAUUUGUCUGGUUUAUUCCGAUAACGAGCGAGACUCCAGCCUGCUAAAUAGUGGGGGCAUUGCCACUGUGCCCUCCCACUUCUUAGAGGGAUCAUCGGCGUUCAGCCGCACGACACGGAGCAAUAACAGGUCUGUGAUGCCCUUAGAUGUCCGGGGCUGCACGCGCGCUACACUGGCGAAGGCAGCGUGCCUGUCCCUCUCCGAUGGGAGUGGGUAAACCGAUCAAAAUUCGCCGUGAUUGGGAUCGGAGAUUGCAAUUAUUCUCCGUGAACGAGGAAUUCCAAGUAAGUGCGAGUCAUCAACUCGCGUUGAAUACGUCCCUGCCCUUUGUAC
rnacentral:rRNA from 1 species